GUAGCGCUGAGCUGGCAAGCCGGCCUGUCAAGCCGGAGGUCGCGGGUUCGAGUCCCGUCGCUCCC
rnacentral:tRNA from 1 species